rnacentral:rRNA from 1 species
GACGAACGCUGGCGGCGUGCUUAACACAUGCAAGUCGAACGGAAAGACCCUGCUUUUGUUGGUUUCUCGAGUGGCGAACGGGUGAGUAAAACGUGAGUAACCUGCCCUUGUCUUUGUGAUAACUUCACGAAACUCGGGCUAAUACCGGAUAGGAUCUCCUGCUGCGUGUGGUUGAUUGGAAAGUUUCGGCUGUGGUGUAUGGACUCGCGGCUUAUCAGCUAGUUGGUCAGGUAGCGGCUUACCAAGGCUUUGACGGGUAGCCGGCCUGAGAGGGUGACCGGCCACACUGGAACUGAGACACGGUCCAGACUCCUACGGGAGGCAGCAGUAGGGAAUCGUCCGCAAUGGGCGAAAGCCUGACGGAGCAACGCCGCGUGAGUGAUGAAGGUCUUCGGAUCGUAAAACUCUGUUAUUAGGGAAGAACAAAUGUGUAAGUAACUAUGCACGUCUUGACGGUACCUAAUCAGAAAGCCACGGCUAACUACGUG